GAUGAACGCUAGCGGCAGGCCUAAUACAUGCAAGUCGAACGGAUAUAUGUUUUUCGGAAUAUAUAUUAGUGGCGCACGGGUGAGUAACACGUACAUAACUUGCCCUCAAGCGGGGGAUAGCCUUGGGAAACUGAGAGUAAUACCCCAUAGAAUUAUUGGACGGCAUCGUUUGAUAAUUAAAACUACGGUGUUUGGGGAUAGAUGUGCGUCUGAUUAGCUAGUUGGUGAGGUAACUGCUCACCAAGGCGACGAUCAGUAGGGGGCGUGAGAGCGUGGCCCCCCACACGGGUACUGAGACACGGACCCGACUCCUACGGGAGGCAGCAGUAAGGAAUAUUGGUCAAUGGAGGGAACUCUGAACCAGCCAUGCCGCGUGAAGGAUGACGGCCUUCUGGGUUGUAAACUUCUUUUGGAUGGGGCGAAAAAACGGGAUUUAUCCUGGACUGACGGUACCAUCAGAAUAAGCACCGGCUAACUCCGUG
rnacentral:rRNA from 1 species